GGAAGAGUGGUGAAAUGGUAGCCACACUUAUUUGCUAAAUAAGCGUCCGAAAGGGCUUGGGAGUUCAACCCUCCCCUCUUCCGCCA
rnacentral:tRNA from 2 species